UAGGGAAUCUUCGGCAAUGGGGGCAACCCUGACCGAGCAACGCCGCGUGAGUGAAGAAGGUUUUCGGAUCGUAAAGCUCUGUUGUAAGAGAAGAACGUGUGUGAGAGUGGAAAGUUCACACAGUGACGGUAACUUACCAGAAAUGGACGGCUAACUACGUGCCAGCAGCCGCGGUAAUACGUAGGUCCCGAGCGUUGUCCGGAUUUAUUGGGCGUAAAGCGAGCGCAGGCGGUUUAAUAAGUCUGAAGUUAAAGGCAGUGGCUUAACCAUUGUUCGCUUUGGAAACUGUUAAACUUGAGUGCAGAAGGGGAGAGUGGAAUUCCAUGUGUAGCGGUGAAAUGCGUAGAUAUAUGGAGGAACACCGGUGGCGAAAGCGGCUCUCUGGUCUGUAACUGACGCUGAGGCUCGAAAGCGUGGGGAGCAAACAGG
rnacentral:rRNA from 1 species